rnacentral:rRNA from 1 species
CCCACAAGAAUGUAACAGAAUGUCAUUAAUGGCCUUUGUGCCUUUAAAUAAAAUACAACUUUCAACAACGGAUCUCUUGGCUCUCGCAUCGAUGAAGAACGCAGCGAAAUGCGAUAAGUAAUGUGAAUUGCAGAAUUCAGUGAAUCAUCGAAU